AGAAUGAACGUUGGCGGCGUGGAUUAGGCAUGCAAGUCGCGCGAUAAACGUAGCAAUACGUGGAAAGCGGCGAAAGGGACAGUAAUGUAUGGGUACCUACCUCGGGGUCUGGGAUAGCGGCGGGAAACUGCCGGUAAUACCAGAUGACCUCCCCGGAGCAAAGGUGUGAUUCCGCCCGGAGAUGGGCCCAUAUGCUAUUAGCUAGUUGGUGAGGUAACGGCCCACAAGGCUAAGAUGGCUAGCGGGUGUGAGAGCACGACCGCGUCACUGGGACUGAGACACUGCCCAGACCACCUACGGGUGGCUGCAGUCGAGAAUCUUCGGCAAGUGGGACGAAAGCCUGACCGAGCGACGCCGCGUGGCGGAUGGAACGGCCGUUCGGUUAGUAAACCGCGUGGUCGGAGGGGGACGUAAAGUUCGUAGGUACGGUACGUUCCCGUCUAG
rnacentral:rRNA from 1 species